ARAUAAAAUUCUUUAUGGUUUAAUAAUUUAUUAUAAAUUUAUUUUACAUAUAAAUUUUAGUGUUAAAUAUUAAUUAUUUAAAUAAUAAUUAYUKAUUUUGUAGUAAUUAAUAUUAAAAUAUUUAAGAAAUUAAGAUUUAGUAAUAUUUAAAUUAAUAACAAAUUUUGUGCCAGCAGUUGCGGUUAAACAAAAAUUAAAUUAAAUUUUAUUAGUAAUUAAUUAAUAAAUAUUUUUAUAAUAAAAAUUUUAAAUUAUUAGGUGAAAUUUUAAUUUAAUUAAAUUUUAUAUUUAAAUUUAUGAUUUAAUAAAUUUUAAAAAAAACUAGGAUUAGAUACCCUAUUAUUAAAAUUUAAAUUUAUAAUACUAAAAUAGUAAUUAAUUAUUUAUUGAAACUUAAAUAAUUUGGCGGUAUUUUAGUUCAUUUAGAGGAAUCUGUUUAAUAAUUGAUAAUCCACGAAUAAAUUUACUUAAUUUAAUAUUUUGUAUAUCGUUGUUAAAAAAAUAUUUUUAAAAAAAAUUAAUAUUUAAAAAUUUUGAAUUAAUUUAAAUCAGAUCAAGAUGCAGAUUAUAAUUAAGAAUAUAAUGGAUUACAAUAAAUUUAUUUAUACCAAUAUUAAUUUGUAACAAUUAAUUGAGGGUGGAUUUAAAUGUAAUUUUAUUUAAUUUAUUAAAAUGAUUAAAAAUUAAAAUAUGUACAUAUUGCCCGUCACUUUCAUAUAAUUAUAAUUUAAUUAUAAUAAAUUGAAAUAAGUCGUAACAAAGUAGAGGUACUGGAAAGUGUUUCUAGAAAGAA
rnacentral:ncRNA from 1 species